rnacentral:rRNA from 1 species
ACCCGCUGAACUUAAGCAUAUCAAUAAGCGGAGGAAAAGAAACUAACAAGGAUUCCCCUAGUAACUGCGAGUGAAGCGGGAAAAGCUCAAAUUUAAAAUCUGGCAGUCUUUGGCUGUCCGAGUUGUAGUCUGGAGAAGCGUCUUCCGCGCUGGACCGUGUACAAGUCUCCUGGAACGGAGCGUCAUAGAGGGUGAGAAUCCCGUCUUUGACACGGACUACCAGUGCUUUGUGAUGCGCUCUCAAAGAGUCGAGUUGUUUGGGAAUGCAGCUCAAAAUGGGUGGUAAACUCCAUCUAAAGCUAAAUAUUGGCGAGAGACCGAUAGCGAACAAGUACCGUGAGGGAAAGAUGAAAAGCACUUUGGAAAGAGAGUUAAACAGUACGUGAAAUUGCUGAAAGGGAAACGCUUGAAGUCAGUCGCGUUUGCUAGAACUCAGCCUUGCUUUUGCUUGGUGCAUUUUCUAGUGAACGGGCCAGCAUCAUUUUUGUUUGCGGGAUAAAGGUCGCAGGAAUGUGGCACCUUCGGGUGUGUUAUAGCCUGUGAUUGUAUACCGUGGAUGGGAGUGAGGAUCUCAGCACGCCGUAAGGCGGGGCUUCGGCCACCUUCGUGCUUAGGAUGCUGGCGUAAUGGCUUUAAACGACCCGUCUUGAAACACGG